rnacentral:lncRNA from 1 species
UUCACCAUGAUGCAAGUCAAACAGACUGGAAACAGAAGGGCUGGUCCGUUCAUUGCUGUUAGCAACCGGGGCAACAAAGCCAGUGUAACUAUGGGAAGGCUUCCGCAGCGGUGCCUCUGAGGUGGGAGCUGGGGUAAAGUUAAAAUGCUAACAAAGGCCUGCUAGAAAGAAAAAAAAAAUCAUGAAGGAAAGAGAAGGAAAAGGUUAUCACUGGCAUACCUAAACAUUAUCAGGUCCAUAGGGUCUGACAUCCCGACAUCCACUUGUGUGACAAGACUUUCCCUGAUCACAGGAAAGCAGCUUCUAACCUGCUGUAUUGUCUCUAAAACCACUACUUGGUUUUGGUGGUACAUUAUAUGGAGGCUUCAGGCUCUGUGAACGCAUAUGGGUUUUGCUCAGUUAUUUUAGAAGGCCUUGUUCUCACAUCCCUUCUGUCUCCCCGACUCCUGUCUCCAUUUCCACAGGGUUCCCUGACCUCUGAGGGGAGGGAUUUGAUGGUGACAUCUCCUUUAGAGCUGUGUGGAAUCCUGGUUUUGUAAGGUGAUGCUAACUUUAGUGAAUUACGUCUGUUACAGGAGGAUUUCAUCCAAAUGAUCUCACUGGAGUAAAACCCACUGAGGUAGGAAAGAUGUUCAUUUAACCAAGUGGUGCUGAGAUAGUGUUUGUCCACAUCCUGAUAUAUAGUUUGGUUGAGGGAAUCAUUCAUGACAAACUUCUGCCUGACGAGCUUCAUCAGUUUGUAUCUCAAAUCACUCUGGGUCUCAUGAUGGAGCCCUGGCAGGCUUGGGAUUCACUUGACCGACAAGAAUAGACUUGGAAUCACAAAGAUUCUCCUGCAUCUACUUCCCACCGGGAAGCAAGUUCCCAAGUGACAAGGAAGACUACCAGUAUUCCCAGUCUCUAAUUCAGAUGAGUAUAUGCUAAGGAUGGGGAACUGAAGCCCAGAGAGAUUAAGGAACAUGACUAAGGCGGUGGCAGCUAGCAGAGGUCAUGAGCCAAUGAACCACGGCUGCUUUCUCUCCAACAGAAGACCUUUACAUGACCUUUGCAGUAUGGCCAAGAAAGGAGUCCUUGAGUCAUGGGUUAUGGACUGCAGGUCAUCUUCAGUGAAGGUCUCACUGAAACUCAGCCGUCUCUUCUUCAGAAUCUUCCCGUUGCUUGACGUUGCUGAUACUGUCACCCGGCUCUCCUUGAAGGUGAAGUUGGACAUCUUUGACGUUUCAGAGGUUCUCAGAGAUACAAACUGAUCUGUGCAAGUCUCAUGAAGUGAGCCAUAGCUUGCAUCAUAGAAGGAUUUCUGUAAGGAGGAAAAGUGGAACCUGAGAAGUUAUCUAUGCCCUUGAGAUGAGAUUCUUCAGUAGGAUCUGUAUCCUGCAGGCUUAGUGAGAGUGGUCCCCAUUGUGCUUCCUCCCUCCCUCCCUCCCUUCCUCCUAAGCAUCCUCCCAAUGUCCUUCCUUCCUUCCUUCCUUCCUUCCUUCCUUCCUUCCUUCCUUCCUUCCUUCCUUCCUUCCUUCCCCACUGCAUUCCUUCCUUUUCCUUGCUUGGGUUUUCCUGAAACCAUGUGAUUUUUUUUUUUUUUGAGAAGAAGGUAUUUUUACCCAUCUUUAGGCUCAAAAAUAAAGCAUUUUAAUGAAAUAGAUUAAUAAGCAAUCUUGGUAAGUUAGAUCCUUCUAUUAAGAGGACUAACAUCUACUUGAGAGUGCUCAAAAUAUUUUAGAAAAUACAUUUGGCCCUCUGUUUUGCCUGCCUGCAUCCUCAGAUUCAACCAAUAUUAAGAUUCAAAAUAUUUUCUAGAAAUAAAUGACAUCUAUACUGAACAUGUGCAUUUUUAUUUUCUAAAUAAUCUAAUCAUUACUUCAUAUGCAUAAGAAUUAUUUCCAUAGCAUCUGUGUUGUGGCAGGUAUUGUUAGGUCACCUAGAUAUGAUUUAAAGUCAUUUGAGAAUGCAUAUAUGCUUGGGACUUAAACAUCUGAUUCUAAGCUCCCAUGGAUGCCUUUAGUAUGGCUGUUCUUCUGGAAGUAGCUUUUAAAGCUAGUAUUGCAGAUACACAAAAUGACAUAACUUGGUGAGUGUGUGCAACAUAUUUACUUUCUCUUGGCUAGGCUCCUCAACCUCAGUUCUGUGGGCUAUCUGGUUAUCUCUAGCCUCUAGUCUCUUAGGAGACAGACCCCAGGUGAGGUGGGCUGAAGCAACUGGCUAGGGAGGACAAAAUUAACAUUUUGAAGAAACCUAGCCCUGUUCUUAGGGCUUCAGAUAGUUCUCUGUUAUGAAAGAGCCAAUGAACAUGAAGAAUGCCAUUUAACUACUAGUAUGAAGAACCAAGUGAUCUCAUUUAUAAAGAGUAAAUGUAUUUAUAUCUCUAGUGAGGGUGAGACAUAAGUAUGUACUACUCAGUUCUCAUUGUGCUUUUCUGGUAGGUGAACUAGUGUGGAGAAAUCUUUUUUAUUCUGUGAUACCCUGAAAACAGAAGGCAGGCCACCAUUGUGAUGAAUGAUGUUUGGAAGUGGAGUAUGGCUGUGGACUCUGGCACAGCUUGUCACUGUACCAUGAAGGUGAGAAACAUUUGUAAAUGCCUUCAGAAUCAACCUUAAAAUCAGCACAUGAUACCCGGAUCUGAAAGGAAUCACUUGAACGCCGAGAGAAGCACAACUCUGAAUUUUCUGGGGGAAAGUUUGGCUCUUUGUGUCUCUGGGUUCUGCAUUUGCAGACUGAACCAAGUGAGGGCAGAAGUACUUGGGGAUGGGGAGGAGAAGCAUCUGUGUUGAAUUCAGGAGACAAUACAGUAUAAUGGCUACUUACAGGGCAUUUAUACUCUGUUAGGUGUCAGCAGGGGUGUAGAAAUGAGUUCAAGGCAUACAGGGGCUAUGCAUUUAUGGAGCAACACCAGCUGUGGUCUCUGAUCUCCUGAAAGCUGACAAUGAAGCCAGUGCUGACCCCUGACCCCAGGCAGAUAAUUACACUUUGAAUUAUCUACAUAAUAAAGGUAUGAAACAGAGGCACUUGUUGAUCUUGGACUGGGAGACAAGUGUGGAGAGAAAAGGGAACAUUCAGGACCAAGCAGAUGUUAUGAGGGUCAAGUAUAUCAAAGCCUGAAGGCUAAGAGCUCAGAGCCACUGGUGGAGGGAGAUGGGCUGGUAAGCUGAGAAUGGAGGACUGGAAGGAGUGCAGGAGCCA